rnacentral:rRNA from 1 species
GAUGAACGCUAGCUACAGGCUUAACACAUGCAAGUCGAAGGGAAACGAUAGGGAAAGCUUGCUUUUUCUAGGCGUCGACCGGCGCACGGGUGAGUAACGCGUAUCCAACCUGCCCAUCACUUGGGGAUAACCUUGCGAAAGUAAGACUAAUACCCAAUGACGUCUCUAGAAGACAUCUGAAGGAGAUUAGAGAUUUAUCGGUGAUGGAUGGGGAUGCGUCUGAUUAGCUUGUUGGCGGGGUAACGGCCCACCAAGGCGACGAUCAGUAGGGGUUCUGAGAGGAAGGUCCCCCACAUUGGAACUGAGACACGGUCCAAACUCCUACGGGAGGCAGCAGUGAGGAAUAUUGGUCAAUGGACGAGAGUUUGAACCAGCCAAGUAGCGUGCAGGAAGACGGCCCUAUGGGUUGUAAACUGCUUUUAUAAGGGAAUAAAGUGAGUCUCGUGAGACUUUUUGCAUGUACCUUAUGAAUAAGGACCGGCUAAUUCCGUGCCAGCAGCCGCAGUAA